rnacentral:lncRNA from 1 species
CUAGACUCAUCUGGCCCCGUGGAAACCAGCAUCAGUGUUGUUUACAAGCUCCCCAGGUGAUGCUAAUGUGCAGCCUGGAGUGAGAGCCAUGGACCGAGACCUCUUCCCACUUCCUCCAUGGAAUUUUUCUUGCAGUCUGUUCUUGCAACCCACAGGCCCCCUUCCCUCACAACCCCAAAGGAAAGAUGAGUUUCCAUUAAGACAAGACCUUAGCUUUAACUUGAUGUCUUAAGCAGAUGGUGGCAGACCUAAUUCACAGUGUCAGCGGGGUCCUGAAUUUCUAUUCCAGCCCUUACGGCCAACUGGCAGCCUGGACCUGAGUGAGUGACAGAUGUCUCCUGAGCAGGACAGACAGGCAAAGCCUGCCGGAGGGGAUGCUGGAGAAAAUGGUCAUGUGGAACCUUCCAGCUGGUCCGACUGGUCAUUGUGUCUGCUCCAAGAAAGUGUGAAAGCGUCACUUCCUGGUAAGUGGCCUUCCUUUGUGAGGAGCAUAACUCAUCUUUUCUCAGUCCCAGGGGCACAAGCAGACCUGGUGAGAGACUGCGUUGCUGCACUGUGACUGUGGUCCCAGGAGGGGAGGAGCCAAAGUCCCAGCCAGGGUGCCCCCCCCCCCCCCCCCCCCCCCCCCCCCCCCGCAGUAUCCUGCUGUGGCCUUUGCACAGACCCUGGGUUAUGUGGCAUAUACUCUGGCCAGGCUAGAAGCUGGGACAUCUUGGCCAACUUCUGAGCUUGAGCCCAAACCUGGGAGGCCCUUCCUCCAUGGAGCACAAAGGUGAGACCUGUGGCCAGUGGCACUGACUCCUCACCGGCACCAGGACCAGACUUCCUAUCUGUGCACUCUAGACUCCAAAACAGGGCUCUCUUGGGUCCCAUCUCCCUUGUCCACUUCUCUCAAGCAGACGGCCCUGGGAAGACUCUAUAUGUACCUACUCCCCGUGAACCCUACGCCCCUGCAUGGGAUGUCCUUCCUGCUCCUCUCUGAGCCAAACCCAACCCCCUUCCCAGUUCUUUCCAUCAACUCUCUCUCAGGCUUGGCAGCUGUGGACCAGUCUGUAGGGAAAUGUCUGUAGGGCAAGGGUGAAUUUGGGGCCAAACUUCCUGCUCAGGAUCAUGGACUUUGGCGACAGACACACCUGGGAUCAAGAGCCAGUUCUUCCAUUCACUGACCAAGUGACCUUAGGCAGGAAUUCCUCUUUUCUAGCCCAAGUUUUAUCUGUAAAAUGGGGGUAAUAGCAGUCUCACAGGAUUGUGGAGAGAAUUAAGAGAUGCCAAAUGUAAAUAAAGUCUUGGGCCCGUAGCCA